rnacentral:rRNA from 1 species
UACGUAGGGGGCAAGCGUUGUCCGGAAUGACUGGGCGUAAAGGGAGUGUAGGCGGCUUUUUAAGUUAUGUGUGAAAGCCCGCGGCUCAACCGCGGAACUGCACAUAAAACUGGAGAGCUGGAGUGCAGGAGAGGUAAGUGGAAUUCCCGGUGUAGCGGUGGAAUGCGUAGAUAUUAGGAGGAACACCAGUGGCGAAGGCGGCUUACUGGACUGUAACUGACGUUGAGGCUCGAAAGCGUGGGGAGCAAACAGG